rnacentral:rRNA from 1 species
UACGGAGGGUGCAAGCAUUGAUCGGAAUUACUGGGCGUAAAGGGCGCGUAGGCGGCCAUAAAAGUCGGAUGUGAAAUUCCGGGGCUCAACCCCGGAGCUGCAUUUGAAACUCUAUGGCUAGAGUACAGUUAGGGAAAUCGGAAUUCCACGUGUAGCGGUGAAAUGCGUAGAUAUGUGGAAGAACACCGGUGGUGAAGACGGAUUUCUGGGCUGUAACUGACGCUGAGGCGCGAAAGCAUGGGGAGCAAACAGG